UCUUGGUCCAAUUAGAGGAAGUAAAAGUCGUAACAAGGUUUCCGUAGGUGAACCUGCGGAAGGAUCAUUACCGAAAGAAUAGGGGUACCGUCCCCGGGGGCUCCGGCCCCUUUCCCUCCCACCCUCUGCGUAUAUACCUUUGUUGCUUUGGCGGGGCCGCGACGGCGACCCGCCAGAGUCCCCCCUAAACUCUGUUUUGAAUAGUGGUGUCCGAGCGGUUGUAUAAUAUAUAAAAACUUUCAACAACGGAUCUCUUGGUUCCAGCAACGAUGAAGAACGCAGCGAAAUGCGAUACGUAAUGUGAAUUGCAGAAUUCAGUGAAUCAUCGAAUCUUUGAACGCAUAUUGCGCCCCUCGGCAUUCCGGGGGGCAUACCUGUUCGAGCGUCAUUACACCCCUCAAGCGUCGCUUGGUAUUGGGCGUUCGCCGCCAGGCGUGCCUGAAAAUCAGUGGCGGCCCGGUGCGGCUUUGAGCGUAUUGAAUGUCCUACCGCUCUGAAAGACCGCCCCGUGGCCGGCCGUCCCGUCCGCAAUGGAUCUCGUUUAAUUGACCUCGGAUCAGGUAGGGAUACCCGCUGAACUUAAGCAUAUCAAAAA
rnacentral:rRNA from 1 species